rnacentral:tRNA from 8 species
GUCCCUGUAGCGCAGUGGAUAGCGCGUUGGACUUCUAAUCCAAAGGUCGUGGGUUCGAUCCCCACCAGGGAUG